UAAUUAUCAAGCCUAAGCCUAAGCCUAAGCCUAAGCCUAAGCCUAAGCCUAAGCCUAAGCCUAAGCCUAAGCCUAAGCCUAAGCCUAAGCCUAAGCCUAAACC
rnacentral:precursor_RNA from 1 species